UGGUUUUGACGCGGAUCCUCUUAAAAGAUCGAUCUCAGGAUUUUAUGAAUUGAUAUGGGAUCAUUCAAAUGCAGAUCGAUCUGAAUCGAAAAAUGAUUUUUUUU